ACCUUUAACUCUCAUCUGCUCAAUAUGAGCUUUUUACCAGUUUGGCAAAUUACUAACCGGUUUAAGAAGAUGACUUGACACGUGUCACCUUCUUUUUUUUAUUUAUUUUUUAUUUAUUUUUUAUUUUUUUUUGCUUUUUGAAGAAUAUCAGAAAAAAAAUUUGGACAAAGGAAAUUCAACGAAAUAGCGCACCACCGACACCGGCUGCCUUCUCUACACUUUGGCCGGCGACCGAAUCUUUUCCCCAACCGACACACCUCCCUCCCCUUCCGGCGUUGAUUCAACUCCUUCCCCUUCCGGCGUCGACCCACCCCACUCCCUUUCCCUGCUUUCCUCCAGCUCUGACCAUCCCCCACCUUUGUUUAAAGCAAAACCCGCCCCACCCUCUCCCAUCGCCGCCAUCAGAUCGGCUUUCCCCUUACCCCAUUACUGCCGGUAACCCAGCCUAAACCCUAAUUCUAACCCGAAAACCUGAUUUGAAGAAGCAGCUACUAUGAAUUUUUUGAGUUGGAUGUUCAAUUAUGAAGAUUGACGAUGGCGUUUGAAGCAACCAAGCAAAGGAUCAAAUCACAAGUUGGAGCAUCCAGCUAGCCACUUCGAAUUGAAGAAGAAAAAGGGGGUGGGUUUUGGGGUGGUCGAGUUUUAGGUUAGCUGGGGACUCGGGUGAUCGGGGUUUUAGGGUGGUUAUUGGUGCUAGGACAAAGGGUUUGUGGGUGGAUGCGGGUGGUCUGGUUGCUGGGUUUGUGGUUGCCUGUGGUGGGGUGGUUGAGGUUAGGAGAGAGAAUGAAGGUGGUAAGAGGAGUUAAGGUGGUGAUGUGGUGGCGCUUAUGGAAGAGUGAUGGUGGUUAUGGUGGUGCGCUAAGGUGGAGAUGAGAGAUUGAAAAAAAUAAAAAUUAAUAAAAAUGAAAAAGUAAAAAAUUAACCUAUUAAACAAGUUUUAGGUUAAAAGGCUCGUUUUGAACAGAUGGGUGUCAAAGGUGGGACUGUUUUGGAAUUUUGAAAAGGUAGGAUUAUUUUGCGCAGAAACCCCAAAGGUAGGAUUAUUAGCUUCCAUUUUUUUUUCAAUUUUAAAUUGUUAAAUAUUGUUGUAGAGGCUACUGAACUAUUUGGUGGCUGAAGAACCAAAUUGUUAUUGCUCUCAAAAUCUUAAUGUUGGCGUCACUCGUUGAAGGAAAUAAAGCUGAUUAAUGUAAAAAGUUGGGAGAGUAAUAUUGUGUUUAACGCGAUGACCCUGAACAACUUGACUAAUUACUUGGACAGGGUGAUUGGAGCCAAGAAAGGACCUCUUAAGAACCCAAUGAAAACUUUUUCCUUUGAAUUGUCAUGUUAUACUAAAAUUGCACGGUGUUAACUCUGUUAAACUUUAGUGAUGCUAUGUUGUCACUGUUCUCGUUCCUAGAGCUUAUAACAGCCAGCUUCAUUGUCUUCAUAUAUACAGUUUGGCUAGCACUAGUAUUUUUCAAGUGAUCACCGUCUAGCAGGUCUUCUGGUCGCUGCACAACCUUCAAACUUUGCUUGUAAUACUCAUUUUGAGUAUUUUGAUCAUUGAGUAUCUUCAUACCUUACUUUUCCAGUUUGGCUAGCACCAGUAUUUUUCAAGCGAUCACCGUCUAGCAAGUCUUCUGGUCGCUGCACAACCUUCCAACGUUGCUUGUGAUACUCAUUUAUGAUAUAAUGUAAAGUUACAAGUCCCUUUUAAUUUUGUACACUUAGAACAACCUAUUUAUUGUUGGACCAUGUCGUGAGUUGUCAGCAACCACACUGCUGUUAAUAUUUGUAGCUGUUUUUUUCGCAUUAUGUUCUAUAUUCAAUACCCCCAUUAUGUCUAAUAAAAAAAAAAAAAAAAAUUGAUGUUCUGACAAGGUAUUGGGUCUAAACUCUCAAUAUUACAACAAAAGUGUUCAAGGUUUCGUUUUAAGAAAUUCUCAAUGGUGAUCCCCAAUACGUACACAUAGUGAUUUUCUUGAAAAUCAAUUAUACAAAAUGACCUUCUUUUAGAACUUUAGCCUACUUAUACCUUAUUUCAUUAAAUAAUUAAUUAACAUUAACUAUGGUUAGAUUUAUUUAAAAAAUAUUAUUUUAAAACAAAUA